rfam:Picea glauca, whole genome shotgun sequence.
CACCUACAACAUAGAAUUAAUGCACCAAAUCCCAUUAGAACUCUGAAGUUAAGUGUGCUUAAGCUAGAGUAGUACUGGGAUGGGUGAGCGCUCGAAAAGUCCUAGUAUUUUACAUGC